CACGGCUCACACAGCAGUGUAAACGAGCGUAACAGACGUUUGGUUUGGUGUUUGUAACUCUCCAAGAAGAGAAGACGGGUGCACAAUCCCAAGAUUGCGGAGGCUGUACGGCGUCUCUGAGGCACACUGCAGGCGCUAUGAACCAGAGCAAAGACUAACGUCGCCUCAUAACAAAGCCGUGACCUCCGAUUUGCUUGGGGCUAUUUUAGCAAGUCCAGAUUUAACUGCUGAGAAUGACGACAUUGUUUGUAAGUAUAACUUCUAAUGUUUUUCCUCAUUUCUUGUUUAAUUGUACCGUGACUCUUUUUAUUAAUACCAGUCUCAUUUAA